GGCUCUGUGGUUUAACAAAAAUACUAAGUUGCAGCCUUAGAGAUGGCUAUGCCCAGGGCUU
rnacentral:tRNA from 1 species